GAUGAAGAACGCAGCGAAAUGCGAUAAGUAGUGUGAAUUGCAGAAUUCAGUGAAUCAUCGAAUCUUUGAACGCGCAUUGCGCCCUUUGGUAUUCCAAAGGGCAUGCCUGUUCGAGCGUCAUUUGUACCCUCAAGCUUUGCUUGGUGUUGGGCGUCUUGUCUCUAGCUUUGCUGGAGACUCGCCUUAAAGUAAUUGGCAGCCGGCCUACUGGUUUCGGAGCGCAGCACAAGUCGCACUCUCUAUCAGCAAAGGUCUAGCAUCCAUUAAGCCUUUUUUUCAACUUUUGACCUCGGAUCAGGUAGGGAUACCCGCUGAACUUAAGCAUAUCAAUAAGCGGAGGA
rnacentral:misc_RNA from 1 species